rnacentral:lncRNA from 1 species
CAGGAUCAGUGGCAUCUCAGCAGCACCAGGAUGCAGGUUCAAUUCCCCAGCCGGGCACGGUGGGUUAAAGCAUAGACCGGGGAACUCCAUAUGCUGUGGGGCGGCCAAAAAAAAAAAAGGACCUGCCCGUUGUCACUGAUGCACUGAUGUGGCAUGAGUUCUGUCCCUGGCCCAGGAAUUUCCACAUGCCACAGGUGCAGCACAAAAAAAGUAGUAAGAGAGAACUUUUACACAUUUUAAUUUUCAACAUUUAAAAAUUGAGAUAUUUCAUAUAAACAUCUGUAUUUUCCUACUUCUCUUGAAAAAGAUAGCUGAGUCUCCUAUUUUAUGACUGAGGCAGUGAAGAUUCAGAAAUGAUGAAAAAAAAGAGAACAUCCAGUAAGUGCUUACAAUCCCUAGUUGUCUCUUUACAACGACCUUGUGGGGACCUUCUUUUGACAGAUGAGGGAACUGAAAGAUGAGCGAGCUUAAGUAGUUUCCUCAAAGGCACAUAGCUGGUAAGUAGAAAAUUCCAUAGCUCCAAAUUAUCUUUCAGAAAUGAGGUUACAUGAGGAAGCUGUAGCACAGCCAGGACUCAAGACAUCCUCAGUCUGCAGUCCAGGGCAUAACUCGGAUGUUGGGAUUACAAAUGGUCAACCUUUUGCUCCUCCUCAGAGCUGGCAAAAGGGAGUAAAUGAGUGUGAUACCCACACUCAGGAUCCCCAAUGCUAUUUUGAUUGUGUUCAUUCUCUCAUCAAAUAUUUAUUGAGCCCUACUAUGUGCCUGGCACCAUUCUAGAUAUUGGAGAUGCAGUAGGAAACAAAAGAGACAAAAAUCUUGGCUGCUAUGGCACUUCUCAGGGUGUUAAAAAGUGUCAACAAGUAAAUAAACCAGAUAAUUUCAGAUAAUGACAGGUGUAGGAAAGAAAUAGGGCCAAUAAGGAGAAAUAAUUUAUGAGAUGAAACUUGAAUGAUGACAAAGUGUAGCCACUUGAGGAGUUCCUGUCAUGGCUCAGCGGUUAACGAAUCUGACUAGCAUCCAUGAGGACACAAGUUUGAUCCCUGGCUUUGUUCAAUGGGUUAAGGAUCUGGUGUUGCUGUGAGCUACGGUGUAGGUCGCAGACAUGUCUCGGAUCCUGCAUUGCUGUGCUUGUGGUGUAGGCUGGCAACUACAGCUCGGAUUCAACCCCUAGGCCUGGGAACCUCCAUGUGCUGAGGGUGUGGCCCUAAAAAGCAAAAAAAAAAAAAAGCAUUAGCCACUUGAAAAUCUGGAGGAAUGUUCUAGACAGAGCUACAGAGACUAAGCUGAGAUUAAACUUGGCAUAUUUGAGGAACAGAAAGAAGGCUUAUGUGACUGGAGCCAAGUGAAUCAGUGAUGGGAAAAGCAGUGUGAGAUCUGGGGGAGAGGCAGGCAGGGGGCCAGAUGAUGGCUGGAACCCUAGAAAAGGCAAAGUGUUGUCCCCUGAUGCAGAGAAUCAGUGAGGAGACUCAGCUGGGAGCAGGAAAGUUCCUACUGGGAGGUCUUCCUACUGUGGGAGGACUUUAGGACAGAUGCUGGCAAAAGGAGAAACAUGUACAAGUAUCCAGAAUCAGAGCUAGUUCUUGUUCUUGAGAAUCUCACAGUCUAGUAAAAAAGAUUGUGACUAAAAAGCAUAGAGUCAGAGUUCGCAUUGUGGCACAGCAGAAGCAAAUCCAACUGGUAACCAUGAGGUUGCAGUUUUGAUCCCUGGCCUUUCCUCAGUGGGUUCAGGAUCCUGUGUUGCUGUGGCUGUAGCUCUGAUUUGACCCCUAGUCUGGAAACCU